AGAGUUUGAUCCUGGCUCAGGAUGAACGCUAGCUACAGGCUUAACACAUGCAAGUCGAGGGGCAGCAUUAACGAAAGCUUGCUUUUGUUAGAUGGCGACCGGCGCACGGGUGAGUAACGCGUAUCCAACCUGCCAUAUACAGAGGGAUAGCCUUGCGAAAGUAAGAUUAAUACCUCAUGGUUUAUAUUUGCCGCAUGGCGGAUAUAAUAAAGAUUUAUCGGUAUAUGAUGGGGAUGCGUCCCAUUAGAUAGUCGGCGGGGUAACGGCCCACCGAGUCGACGAUGGGUAGGGGUUCUGAGAGGAAGGUCCCCCACAUUGGAACUGAGACACGGUCCAAACUCCUACGGGAGGCAGCAGUGAGGAAUAUUGGUCAAUGGACGAGAGUCUGAACCAGCCAAGUAGCGUGCAGGAGGACGGCCCUAUGGGUUGUAAACUGCUUUAGUAUGGGAAUAAAGUCAUCCACGCGUGGAUGUUUGCAUGUACCAUAAGAAUAAGGACCGGCUAAUUCCGUGCCAGCAGCCGCGGUAAUACGGAAGGUCCGGGCGUUAUCCGGAUUUAUUGGGUUUAAAGGGAGCGUAGGCGGAUUUUUAAGUCAGUUGUGAAAGUUCACGGCCCAACCGUGAAAUUGCAGUUGAAACUGAAAGUCUUGAGUGCACGCAGGGAUGCUGGAAUUCGUGGUGUAGCGGUGAAAUGCUUAGAUAUCACGAAGAACUCCGAUCGCGAAGGCAUGUGUCCGGAGUGCAACUGACGCUGAGGCUCGAAAGUGUGGGUAUCAAACAGGAUUAGAUACCCUGGUAGUCCACACAGUAAACGAUGAAUACUCGCAGUUGGCGAUAUACGGUCAGCUGCCAAGUGAAAACAAUAAGUAUUCCACCUGGGGAGUACGCCGGCAACGGUGAAACUCAAAGGAAUUGACGG
rnacentral:rRNA from 1 species